GGUCACGUGGACAAAGAGUCACUUUAUGCGCCACCCGGUGUAUUUGAGGACAGCUGCUCCAAAAGAUUAAGAUUUGCAACACGGUGCCACCACCCUGCUGCCCUGCCUCAGGUUUUCCACAGCUUUAAUUUCCAGCUGCAGCACCUUAGGAGCCCCAGCAAUGACAAAUGACAGAAGCCUAAUGGAGAAGUCUUGCCUAGUACGAAAAGGAACAUAAAUUGUCUGCAUCAAGUGGUAAUAAGGAAAUAUUGUUUAUUCUUUUCAGAGAUUGGAAAAUCUUUUCCAGUUGUAGGUCCCAACCAACAGGGGUUGAGAUACUUAUCUUAAAGGAAGAGCCGAAGUUUCCCAUGAAGUCUGCCACUAAAUUACUAUGUGAGAAAGAGUGCUGAUACCUGCCGACGGACGCCGGCAGUGGUGGUGUGACCACCUCUCCAUCAAAGACAAAGUCUUUUGGAGGCCCAAAGCUGCCCUGCUCCACGGUGCAGGCACAGCCAUGGUGCUUCCUCUGCCGCUCGUGCCUCAGCUGGAGGACUAUUUCCGUAGAGACCCGGAGACGUGAACGAGGCAGCAGUUCAGCAGACUCUCUGUGUAGUCCUGCUCUCGCCCUUCCCCUGUGCUUGUGCUGGCACAAUCAUUGCACACCCGCACGGGGAACCAGAGUGGGGAACUGGUCAGUGGCAUUCCUACCUUCUCCCAACUUUAAGCGCUCAUGAAACUGAGUCCUUGGUGAAAUUCUGGACUGUAACUCGGAAAAGAGUUUCAGAUGGGAGCUCUGGUGACUGGGAAGUACAGGAGAGAGCACCCUGUUGAAGGGGCUGUUGAGAAGGGCAGGACUAAUGAGAUACCAGUUGGCCAAAGUAUAUUCCCUAGCAAACCCUUGACACAGGACUCGGAGAGGGCUGGUGACCUACUGAUCUCCUGGUGGAGAAGGUCAAAGGAGCAGCUUGUAUUCCUUAGAGAGAUCUUCAGGUCCUGAAAAGAAUGGAUGGAGUAUGAACGCAAUAGCUCUAUUCCCUGUGUGAAAUUGUAUUGUUUGAGGAACUGCUCUGCAGGGUGCUGUCUCACUCCUGCUCCCAUUCACUGCUAUGUGCUACUGUUAGAAGAAGUAGCAAGGGCCAUGGGCUGCAGUGGCUUUGGUGUUUGCACCACGCUUGUUUCUCAGACUGCUGUAGAAAGAAAGACAUGACCCUGAAUGAGAGAGGAGGUUGUGUGGAGGUGAGGACCAGAUUCUUGAAGACAAGGGUGCUACAGUUGAAAGUAAAUGUACAACUCUCAAGGGAUAUCUGGAUGCUUUGGAAAAACCCUACUAGACACCACUCUACAUUUUAGGCUGCUAAAUACAUUUACUAUCUGAUUUCCAAAUGAAUUUCUCUCUAAGUUCUUUAUAUCGUAUAUAUCACGUUAUUGCUCAAUCCGCUGAGCCAGGCUAUAUGAUUAGUGCUGGGCUGCAGAUGGCUGUCAGGACAAGUCUGCAGAGCAAGUAACAAAGAAUGAGAACAUCUGCAACAGGGCUGCCACAGCUGAAGGUACAUGUUAGGGCCUGAGAUCACCUAGCAGCUCAUUUCCCCAUAGAGGAAGAGGCUCUGUGCCCUUUUCUCUCCUCUCCUCCUGUCUUGGCCCUCCUCCCCUCACUUGCAGUGGCUUGCAUUUUUCAGACCCUACACCAAGCCAAUUCAGUUUACUGGAAUCAAAACAAAAUUAACCUGGAAAAAAGGUGAAUCAUUUUCUGAUGGGUUAUUGAGUUGACUCAGAUGUGCUGAAGAGCAACAGGGCUAAUGCAAAGGAUGGGAUGGGAUUAUAUGGCUGGGACUGGGUCUAGGAAAAGGAAGA
rnacentral:lncRNA from 1 species